rnacentral:rRNA from 1 species
UGCAGUCGAGCGGACAGGAUGGGAGCUUGCUCCCUGAAGUCAGCGGCGGACGGGUGAGUAACACGUGGGCAACCUGCCUGUAAGACUGGGAUAACUCCGGGAAACCGGGGCUAAUACCGGAUAACUCUUUUCCUCACAUGAGGAAAAGCUGAAAGAUGGUUUCGGCUAUCACUUACAGAUGGGCCCGCGGCGCAUUAGCUAGUUGGUGAGGUAACGGCUCACCAAGGCCACGAUGCGUAGCCGACCUGAGAGGGUGAUCGGCCACACUGGGACUGAGACACGGCCCAGACUCCUACGGGAGGCAGCAGUAGGGAAUCUUCCGCAAUGGACGAAAGUCUGACGGAGCAACGCCGCGUGAGUGAUGAAGGUUUUCGGAUCGUAAAACUCUGUUGUCAGGGAAGAACAAGUACCGGAGUAACUGCCGGUACCUUGACGGUACCUGACCAGAAAGCCACGGCUAACUACGUGCCAGCAGCCGCGGUAAUACGUAGGUGGCAAGCGUUGUCCGGAAUUAUUGGGCGUAAAGCGCGCGCAGGCGGUUCCUUAAGUCUGAUGUGAAAGCCCCCGGCUCAACCGGGGAGGGUCAUUGGAAACUGGGGAACUUGAGUGCAGAAGAGAAGAGUGGAAUUCCACGUGUAGCGGUGAAAUGCGUAGAGAUGUGGAGGAACACCAGUGGCGAAGGCGACUCUUUGGUCUGUAACUGACGCUGAGGCGCG